rnacentral:rRNA from 1 species
GACGAACGCUGGCGGCGUGCCUAAUACAUGCAAGUUGAGCGCUGAAGGUUGGUACUUGUACCAACUGGAUGAGCAGCGAACGGGUGAGUAACGCGUGGGGAAUCUGCCUUUGAGCGGGGGACAACAUUUGGAAACGAAUGCUAAUACCGCAUAAAAACUUUAAACACAAGUUUUAAGUUUGAAAGAUGCAAUUGCAUCACUCAAAGAUGAUCCCGCGUUGUAUUUGCUAGUUGGUGAGGUAAAGGCUCACCAAGGCGAUGAUACAUAGCCGACCUGAGAGGGUGAUCGGCCACAUUGGGACUGGGACACGGCCCAAACUCCUACGGGAGGCAGCAGUAGGGAAUCUUCGGCAAUGGACGAAAGGCUGAACGAGCAACGCCGCGUGAGGGAAGAAGGUUUUCGGAUCGUAAAACUCUGUUGGUAGAGAAGAACGUUGGUGAGAGUGGAAAGCUCAUCAAGUGACGGUAACUACCCAGAAAGGGACGGCUAACUACGUG